GGGCGCUUAGCUCAGCUGGCAGAGCACUUCGUUUACACCGAAGGUGUCAGGGGUUCGAGUCCCUUAGCGCCCA
rnacentral:tRNA from 1 species